CGGCGAGUAGCGCAGUUUGGUAGCGCGUCUGGUUUGGGACCAGUAGGUCGGAGGUUCAAAUCCUCUCUCGCCGA
rnacentral:tRNA from 1 species